rnacentral:rRNA from 1 species
CGACUCUCCCUUUUCUUAAGUCUGAUGUAAAAUACAUCUCAGAAGAGUUAGGUCGGAUUAAAACUAAAAAGACUUGAGUGCAGGAGAGGAAGUGGAAUUCCAUGUGUAGCGGUGAAAUGCGUAGAUAUAUGGAGGAACACCGGAGGCGAAAGCGGCUCUCUGGCCUGUAACUGACACUUAGGCUCAAAAGCUUGGGAACAAACGGGAUUAGAUACCCUGGUAGUCCACGCCUUAAAACAUCAGUGCUAGCUGUAGGGAGCUAUAAUUCUCUCUAGCGCACUAACGCAUUAAGCACUCCUCCUGGGGAGUACACCCCAAGGUUGAAACUGAAAGGAAUUGAGGGGGGCCCGCACAAGCGGUGGAGCAUGUGGUUUAAUUGGAAGCAACGCGAAUAACCUUACCAGGUCUUGACAUACUCUUUGCUAUCCUUAAGAUAAGGAAGUUCCUUCAAAGACACGGGAUACAGGUGGUGCAUGGUUGUCGUCAGCUCGUGUCGUGAGAUGUUGGGUUAAGUCCCGCAACGAGCGCAACCCUUAUUACUAGUUGCCAUCAUUAAGUUGGGCACUCUAGUGAGACUGCCGGUGAUAAACCGGAGAAGGUGGGGAUGACUCAAAUCAUCAUGCCCCUUAUGACCUGGGCUACACACGUGCUACAAUGGAUGGUACAACGAGUCGCCAACCCGCGAGGGUGCGCUAAUCUCUUAAAACCAUUCUCAGUUCGGAUUGCAGGCUGCAACUCGCCUGCAUGAAGUCGGAAUCGCUAGUAAUCGCGGAUCAGCACGCCGCGGUGAAUACGUUCCCGGGCCUUGUACACACCGCCCGUCACACCACGGAAGUUGGGAGUACCCAAAGUAGGUUGCCUAACCGCAAGGAGGGCGCUUCCUAAGGUAAGACCGAUGACUGGGGUGAAGUCUAACAAG